UGGGCGGGUUUUGAUUUUGUUUUCGGGUGCUUAUUCAGACCAACCGUUGAACGCAAGACUAAUGCAUGAUAAGCGGGUCGGGUUGGAGAUACCGAGGGACGAGCAAGACGGAUCGUUUACGAGUGACUCGGUGGCGGAGUUGAUUAGGCGAGUGAUGGUGGAGAAAGAAGGUGAGUCAAUAAGGUCAAAUGCAUGGGCCAUGAAGGAGAUCUUUGGCAACGUAGAGUUGAACAACAGGUGCUUGGACGAAUUCACUCGAACCCUUGAAACCUGGCCCACUUCAACCUAAUCAACUUUGCAGAUUUUAUGUUUUGGGGCCUCUAAAUUGGCAUAAUUAAUUGGUAUCUUGCUUUCUAGUUGUGUUUUUAUUUCUACCGACAAUAAAGUGGCAUCGAAUUGAAAAAAUAAAAUCCUAGUAAGAGAACUCGAGGAAGCUGAAUCUUUAUCUAUUUGUAGUUGUGGUUGAUUUGAGGAUUGUAUUUUCUGAAAAGCAUUACGUUUGUGUUUAUGUUAAAAGUGUUUUUAUUCUACUUUUUUUUAAUGAUUUUGAGAAUGAACGGUAAAUAUUAGUCAAAAAGUCAUACUCUUUGUAAGUUGGUGUUGAUCCUAAAAACUACUAAAUCUAUGUGACGCGCAGGUCAAGUAACU
rnacentral:lncRNA from 1 species